ensembl:lncRNA
CUUUCCUUUGCCAGGAAAUCUGCAGAUAGAAACACAGGCUUGUGGUCCACCAAGAAUGUCGUGUCAUCGGCUCCUGAGGCGAGCGCUACGUGGCAUUAAAUAGUUAGGAGGCUGUGCAGCAGCCGUGGGGGCCGGAUCACCAUUUGGGAAAGAUGCCUUCUGCCACGUGGAGGGACCAAGUGCAAGUGUCCCUUCUUCCCGCUCAGCCGUGAAGGAAGAGUCUGGCAAAUAGCCACCAGGAAGGACGGGGCCGCUGGCUUUCAGGCACUUCCCAUCCGGGCUGCAUUUCUUCGUCCAAACCCGGGUCUCUUCACCCGAAACUCCCACCCGACUGCCUCUCAGAGAAAGGCUCCCUCCCAGUGCAAAGCCACAGGGGGCUUCAGAUUCAGCCCCAAGGUCAUCCUGGAAGGAGACCCCGUGCUUCCAGGUGCCACCAGCACCCAGGCAUCGCACCUGUGGGGCCCACAGCCCCGAGCUUGGCCGCUUGCCGCAGAGACGCUGACUCCCCCUGUCAGACACACGGACGGCAAAGGGACCUGCUCGCUGAGCCGAGGAAGACCAGCAGGACGACGAGAGGGCCCCCAGCUUGGAGCCAGCUGUGGACAUGCUUCUGGGCAGCAGAACCUUCAGCCAGGUGCAGGGCCUGCACAGGUGAGCACAGAGGCCUGAGGACUGCGAAGGUCGCAGCCACCCCGACUGAGCAACGGGGAGCAGAGCAGGGUCCUGGCAGAGUAGGUAACAGCAACCCCAUGGGGGUACAGUGGUGGGCACAGCCGUGCAGCAUCGGUAGGCACAGCCAUGAAGCAGCGGUGGGGGCACAGCUGUGCAGCAGAGGUGGGCAGGGGCGCUACACCAGCCCGGCGAGGCAGCGAGGCUUCCCAGGGAAAGGCUCCUGAGUCUUGAUGAUGAGCAGUGAUCAGUCAGAGGAACGCUGGGACAAGCAUUCUAAGGUGGGAACAGAAUGUGAAAGGACAGAAGCCGAUGAACAAUCUUGGGCGGGAUGAUGGGUGGGGGUCAUUCUGAGGACAACCUUGACUAGUAACGCUGCCUCGAUGGCUGUGACGGCUGUGUCUGCCCUGGACUCCACGGCCUACAGCUUGUGCAGCGGUCAGCUUGCAGUCAGUGCCGUGGGAGCAGGGGAGGCAGUGGUGGCAAGAACACUCCUUUUGUGUGAUUGCGAGGAAGAGUGGGGGUCCAGGGAACAGCAGGGUGUAAGUCUGGAGAUGGCAGAGCCCAGCCAUUCCGCAGGGCCGUGGGGUGAGCCAAGGACCCCUGUUUCUCACCUGUAAUAUGGGGGUAGUGACAUGCACCUGACUGGGGCCUGCAGGGGGGCCCCAUCCAUCAGCCGCUGCCCAGGACCCCGGCUACUGUGGGCACCUGAUGCCGCUGUGCUCAGCCCCCGCGGGGUGCAGGCCACACAGAGUCCGGCAGAGGAGACCGGGGGGCGCACUGCCUCCCCACAUCGCUUCCAGACCAGAAAGGUGCCAGGCUGGAUUGCGGGCGCCCUCCUCCCCGAUGAAUCAGUAAUUCUUGCUGCUCAGUGCUUUCUUUCCCC